UUUUUCCAGCACUGUCCAUCUGGUGUAUCUCAUAACACAGUGUUAAUAUAUCUAAAUGUGUAGAAGACCAGAAACAAAAACGGCAGCUUCAGGGAAUGCAAUAAUGAAACUGUUUCACCAGUUUUGUUCUGCUGGAGACAGUUGGAUUACAAUAGAUGUCUGAUGGCCAGGGCACAGCAGUGCCAAAGAAGAGAAAUAGAUAAGGAAAAUACAUAGACUGAGAACAAUGUUUAGAAAUGUUGAUGCUUAGUUCAAUAGAUUAAAGCUGAAGAAGGAAUGGAGUUAAAGGACUAUGGAGAACUCCUUUAAAAAUGUGUUAAUUUAAAAAUGUAUUAUCUUUGCAAGCAAUUUUUGGGAGGGGCUUCUUGUGCAUAAGUACUACAUUUCUUGUAAAACAGUAUGAGUGCCAAAGUGAGAUUUGUGUUUGGACUUUUAGCAGGGGGUUGGACUGGUUUAUCUCCAGUGGUCCCUCCUACCCCCUAUGGUUCUGUGAUUCCUACUUCAGAUGCUGAACAUGCUAAUUGCUAAUGCUCUUUCCCUUUCUUGUUCCUUAUUGGAACUUGUAGAGUACCAGUCCCCAACAUGUGAUUUGUGAAGAAUUUGUUGACUCCAAAACUUGUGAAACUGUUCAAACUCAAAGCAAACUGAAGUACUGAAACUGAGGGAAAUGUGGGAGUGCUGCCGGAUGUUCCCACAGUGUGUUAUUGUGGUCUUCACAGCUGCCAGUGAAGAGGACUGUUGGUGCAAAAAUGCUAAGCUCUCUCCUCGCGCUACAUUGCAAAGCAGUAUGGCACUGCCAGAAGCCAGUCAGAGUUGAUGCUUGGCCUUGUGACAAGGAGAAGAGACAGCAACCAGGAAGCCAUGUUAUUAAAUUGAAAUACUGGAUGAGAGGAAAGUUCUGCCAAGAGACAAUCAAAUUGAAGAUAGACAGAAUGCCUUGGGGACUCUAUAAUGCAGACAUAAAUGCAAAGGUUGUAAAAAAAAAAUAAUAAUAUAUAUAUACAGUGUGUUAUUAAAAAAAAAAAAGGCAUUAAGUGGUAAAGCAGAGUACUCUGCUUUUGUAAUUAAUGAAGUAGAAAUGUAUGUAAAAAUGGAGAAAAUUACACAAGUCCAUUACUCAGUGUUAGUUCAUGAAUGUAAAGCAUCUAGUAGAUUCGACUAUAGAGGGAUCUUUAUGGUACAAUUUACUUUUCAAAACUCAUUCUGUUUUAUUUUGAUAAAUAUUCUUGGUAUGCGAACACACUUCUGUUUUUCCAGAAACCUUC
rnacentral:lncRNA from 1 species